AUGGCAAUGAUGAGUGGCGCAGGGGUACAGACAUCAGCUGGAUAAUGGGAGCUGAGUGUGGGUGUUCUCUUUUCAGCCUGCGUGUGGUGGGCUUUAAGCGGCAUCUACACAAUAAAAAGUCGCCUAUGCCUGAGCCAC